rnacentral:rRNA from 1 species
UACGUAGGGGGCUAGCGUUGUCCGGAUUUAUUGGGCGUAAAGAGCUCGUAGGCGGUUUGUCGCGUCUGCCGUGAAAGUCCGGGGCUCAACUCCGGAUCUGCGGUGGGUACGGGCAGACUAGAGUGAUGUAGGGGAGACUGGAAUUCCUGGUGUAGCGGUGAAAUGCGUAGAUAUCAGGAGGAACACCAAUGGCGAAGGCAGCUCGCUGGGACGGUACUGACGCUGAGACGCGAAAGCGUGGGGAGCAAACAGG